rnacentral:rRNA from 1 species
AAUGAACGCUGGCGGCGUGCUUAACACAUGCAAGUCGCACGAGAAUCCCGGUGCUUGCAUUGGGAGGAGAGUGGCGAACGGGUGAGUAACACGUGGAUAAUCUACCUCUUGGAUUGGGAUAACUAUUCGAAAGGAUAGCUAAUACCGAAUAAGAUGGCGGUUACAUAAGUAGCAGCCAUUAAAGGUGGGGACCGCAAGGCCUAUCACCGAGAGAUGAGUCCGCGGCCCAUUAGCUAGUUGGCGGGGUAAUGGCCCACCAAGGCGACGAUGGGUAGCCGGCCUGAGAGGGUGACCGGCCACAUUGGGACUGGAGAUACGGCCCAGACUCCUACGGGUGGCAG